rfam:Gossypium arboreum cultivar AKA8401 contig_193546_1, whole genome shotgun sequence.
AUACCUUUCUCGGCCUUUUGGCUAAGAUCAAGUGUAGUAUCUAUUCUUAUCGGUUUAAUAUCUGAUACGUGGGCCAUUGGCUCACAUGAUAUUAAAUUUAUUUUUUUUAGGGGGAAUGCCCACCUAGGCAGCUUGCUACUGGGUCUUUCGCGCGUCGCCCAAGCGUUGCACUAUAGCUCGGGCCAGGCGCACCCCAC